UUUUUUCAUGUCCCCCUAUAAUAUCAUAUCCCUUUCUUUGAAGUUUUCAUUUGAUCAUUGUGUACAUAAGUGGCAUGUAACUCGGUCGAGUCUAGGAGUCCAGAAGUUGCUAAAUUGUAUUUUGUUUCAGUUUAAAAAAAACAGAAAAUUAAAAAAUCGAAAAAAGGAAGGAGACAUAUUAUGAAAAAACCCAGUCUCAUAAAAAUGAAAAAUGUAGCAAAAAGAAC
rnacentral:lncRNA from 1 species